AACGAACGCUGGCGGCAGGCUUAACACAUGCAAGUCGAGCGCCCCGCCAGGGGAGCGGCAGACGGGUGAGUAACGCGUGGGAACGUACCUUUUGGUUCGGAACAACUCCGGGAAACUGGAGCUAAUACCGGAUAAGCCCUAACGGGGAAAGAUUUAUCGCCGAAAGAUCGGCCCGCGUCUGAUUAGCUAGUUGGUGAGGUAACGGCUCACCAAGGCGACGAUCAGUAGCUGGUCUGAGAGGAUGAUCAGCCACACUGGGGCUGAGACACGGCCCAGACUCCUACGGAAGGCAGCAGGGGGGAAUAUUGGACAAUGGGCGCAAGCCUGAUCCAGCCAUGCCGCGUAAGUGAUGAAGGCCUUAGGGUUGUAAAGCUCUUUUGUCCGGGAAGAUAAUGACUGUACCGGAAGAAUAAGCCCCGGCUAACUUCGUG
rnacentral:rRNA from 1 species